UGAGAAGGUUAUAAUGUUACUUGUUAUUGAUAUUAGCCUUUACAUAAUACCUACGUUGCUGCAACGUUAAACUAACAUUGCCUGACAAUCUUCUUCCAAGAAGUGGAUUUAGUGCUAUUAGACUUGCGUGAUAAGGUCCACUUUACCAUUGAACAUCAUUAUUCCGUAAAAAACCGCUGACAUUGCUCUUAUAGACUCUGAUGUUUAUCAUAAGAAGGUUUUGGUAUUAUUAAAUCGAGAUUCAAAUUUCCCGCGAUAGUAGUUCGAUGUUUGGCCACAACGAGUAGCUGGCGGACCGUGUUUAUGGCGGGAAUUACAACGAGUAUCUGUGCCUGGCGCGACUUUUGUUGUUGUUUACAGGACAGGAGGCUUCAGACCAGGAGAAAGGUGUUGGCAAAAGAGAAAUUAGACCACCUUCUAAACUUGCUGAGGUCAUUGAUGAAGAAGUGGUCAACAAGAGGAGACAAACAAGCAUUGCAAGGAGAAAGCAUCCCAUCCUCACUUCAGAUGAUGACUUCCGAAGAUGACAGGUCACAUCCAAAACUUCACUUGCCCCAUUAUUCAGGUCUUGAAAGUUAAAUUGACAAGGUAAAAUCUGACACUGAAGAGGUUAAGAGGGCGUCAUCCCAGUUUAAAGAUGAAAUCUUGGAAGCAGUUAGAGAUAGAAAUUUUGAUGAUGACCCUAGAGAAAAUCUAAACCAGCUUUUCCCCAUCAUUCUGACUUCUGAAGAGGAAGUGGAACAGUUUGAAAAAACACUCAGAAAAGCCUUAUAGAAAGUCAAUGGUUACUGAGCUGGCUUCAGUGUAUGCAAAUAAAGAUGAGAAACCAGUGAUCCUCUGAUGGGUCAUGAGACACCUCAUGACAAAAGAAAUUGAUGGGGGAAUAUUCGUUGAAGGGAUCAAGAAGAAAGAAAAAAGAAGUCUCUUUGAUACUAGACCACAUGGAUUAAUUCGUGGUGUUGCCAUUAGAUUUCUGACCAAACAAGAUAAGGAAGCAGACAUCGUGAUAGAUGACACUAUUGUGGCCGUCCUCAAAUUUGCACCACAUGGGGAAGGAGGGGAAAAGUUGAAGCCAAGGUCAAAACCAAAGGAGAUCAAGGCCUCUCCAUCCGCCUCUUUUCGGACACCUAAAAUGCUGCAUAACCCCAUAAACUUUUUUGCAUUCUUGUGACUUGUGCUCCCUCUUCAUGAAUUCUUGUGUAAAUUUAUAAGUAUUACUACUAUACACUGCAUUUUAUAAAUUAAGUAAUUUUCUUUAACUGGUUACAGUACAGUAUAGUGUCCCCAUAUUUAUUUGUCCAACGCCUGUGGAAUAGUUAACUGAGAUAUUGAAAAAUUAUGUAUCAUCCUUGUGGAUAGAAUUAUGAGUAAAUGUGUAGACUAUAUAUAGUUUAACAUCAUGGGUGUUUCAAUUAAUUCUUGGUCUUCCUGUCCUCGGAGUGGGAGUAAGGCAUUAUAGAUAAUUAGUGAUUUUUUAGGCUAAGGUGUGCAAUAAUAAAAAGGUUCUACAUGCCAUAUUCAUAUACAAAUUGUAUAAUUAUGAUAUCUUAGUUGUAUUUCCAUUUCUUUUUAUGGGAACACAUUUUAAAUAGCUAAUAUUUCUGAACUGUGUGGAGUGAUUCAUCAUGUUCUUCCACAUGUCCAUCCCUUAAUCUCAGAUACUGUUCCUUACCCCUCACACCUCUCCCUAACCUAUUCAUAACUCUAGGUUAAACUAACUCCCUUCACAUGUUCCUAAGAACUUAAGCUUAAUCACAUUUGUCAACUUUUUACCCUUCUCAUACAGUCAAACAGUCACUGGCAUUCCAAACCUUUCUAUUCUUAACUUGCUUAUCUUGACAUUUAUAAGCUCCCAAAACUUUUCUGCUCUCUAUGGAAUAUCGAUCACCUCCUUCAAAAAUAUCAGAAACUAUUUGAAACCUACAACCCAUAUUUUCCUUACUAUACUUAUUAUUUACUCCUAUCAACAGUCCCCCUCUAUUUGUUCAUACUAUACACACAUUCAAACGUUUCACCAGUGCCUUCGCCUUUUCCUUAAAUGUCCCACAUGAAUACAAUUGAAACUCAAACUAAAGCUAUUAAAAAUAAAGCACUUGUCUCCUACCUAAUCCCUGUCUUUCUGUGAGCGUGAGUGAGCAUUAUACACGCAUAUAGUGUUCUUGGGAGUCCCUCUACCUGCUAUGUAGUUGCCACUAUAUGUAUUUCACUGUGUACUUUUAUACUUUGUAGAAUAAAAAAGGGUAGAACAAUUUA